rnacentral:rRNA from 1 species
UCAGAUUGAACGCUGGCGGCAGGCCUAACACAUGCAAGUCGAGCGGUAACAUUUCUAAGCUUGCUUAGAAGAUGACGAGCGGCGGACGGGUGAGUAAUGCUUGGGGAUCUGCCUGAUGGCGGGGGACAACCACUGGAAACGGUGGCUAAUACCGCAUAAUACCUAUGGGUCAAAGUGUGGGACCUUCGGGCCACACGCCAUCAGAUGAACCCAAGUGAGAUUAGCUGGUUGGUAAGGUAACGGCUUACCAAGGCGACGAUCUCUAGCUGGUCUGAGAGGAUGAUCAGCCACACUGGGACUGAGACACGGCCCAGACUCCUACGGGAGGCAGCAGUGGGGAAUAUUGGACAAUGGGGGCAACCCUGAUCCAGCCAUGCCGCGUGUGUGAAGAAGGCCUUCGGGUUGUAAAGCACUUUCAGUGGUGAGGAAGGUGGUGCCGUUAAUAGCGGCAUCAAUUGACGUUAGCCACAGAAGAAGCACCGGCUAACUCCGUGCCAGCAGCCGCGGUAAUACGGAGGGUGCGAGCGUUAAUCGGAAUUACUGGGCGUAAAGCGCACGUAGGCGGUAUGUUAAGCAAGAUGUGAAAGCCCAGAGCUCAACCCUGGAAUAGCAUUUUGAACUGGCAUGCUAGAGUUUUGGAGAGGGUGGUAGAAUUUCCAAUGUAGC